CAAUCGGCCCUUUUCAGGGCCAACAAAUGGUUACUUAAAAGUUAUU
rfam:Aedes aegypti strain Liverpool supercont1.365 genomic scaffold, whole genome shotgun sequence.